rnacentral:rRNA from 1 species
GACGAACGCUGGCGGCGUGCCUAAUACAUGCAAGUCGAGCGAUGAUUAAAGAUAGCUUGCUAUUUUUAUGAAGAGCGGCGAACGGGUGAGUAACGCGUGGGAAAUCUGCCGAGUAGCGGGGGACAACGUUUGGAAACGAACGCUAAUACCGCAUAACAAUGAGAAUCGCAUGAUUCUUAUUUGAAAGAAGCAAUUGCUUCACUACUUGAUGAUCCCGCGUUGUAUUAGCUAGUUGGUAGUGUAAAGGACUACCAAGGCGAUGAUACAUAGCCGACCUGAGAGGGUGAUCGGCCACACUGGGACUGAGACACGGCCCAGACUCCUACGGGAGGCAGCAGUUAGGGAAUCUUCGGCAAUGGGGGGCAACCCUGACCGAGCAACGCCGCGUGACGUGAGAAGGUUUUCGGAUCGUAAAACUCUAGUUGUUAGAGAAGAACGUUAAGUAGAGUGGAAAUUACUUAAGUGACGGUAUCUAACCAGAAAGGGACGGCUAACUACGUGCCAGCA